CUCAUGGUGUAACCGGAGAGGAUGCAACCGAGUGGGAUACCCAGCGCCGUGGCGGUAGCUGUGGAUUAAUCACGAUUCAAUUUUAAGAUGUAAAAGGUAUGCUGACGAGGCAGAGAGGAAGAUCGACGUCGCCGAACACUGACCUCCCUCUACUACUCGGCUGUGUCCUUGGCCUUGAAACCAGAACGUGUUUCGGGAGAUGAAAUCCAACCAGCAGCACAGGUGGAACGAUAAUUGCUUGGCCGUCAUAGCGAACGUAAGCCUUGCCUUUACUUUCGCUCCAUUACGGAAUCGGAGAACGCCCGAGUGAAGAGCAAUCCUGCGCGUUAGGUAAGCUGAAACAUUCUUUCCUUCUUUUGCCAUAAUCGCUCGAAUGAAAUUACCUAGGUAAAAGUGAGGAAUUUCUUUAUCUUCCUUCCGUCAAUUUUCAAAAAUUCUUCUUUCUUCGUUAAAAAGAUAGUCUUUAAAAGGUCUCUACUUAAGUAGGCAUAUAAAAACUUUGUAGGGUGAGUGGUGGUUCAGCUUAUGGUACAACUUCAACCCCCACGAUUGGUAAUAAUUAAAUAUAGUCUGGAAAUUAAAAUUGUUUCUUCUCAAUUUUUAAAUUUUAUUCGACCUGUGAACCAUAAAAUACUAUAAUCUUGUAUGAAUAGACAAGUGAACUAAUUGAAGCGCAUUUAGUAGACAAAUUUAAUUGCAUUUAAAAUAUUUUUAAUAAUCGAAGAUUUUAUCAGAGAUGAACAAUAUAGAGGGUUCAAUAUAUUUGUUCUCUGAUCAAGAUAUAUUAUUAAUGCCUUUUUUUUAAUAAAUAUGAAUUCGUUUAAACAAAUGCAUAACAUAGCUAUGAAACUAACUAAAAAAUACUGACUUUAAGUAUAUACGAGAAGAAACAACUUUUCUUCAUCAAUUAAUAGUGGUCAUUUACAGUAUUACUGAUGGUGUGCAGACGAUAAUUAUAUUUUAAUUGCAAAAUUAAGUUGCCUGAAAGAGUAGUUUCAAAUUCUACCAUUACACCAUCUGUUCAAAAACGCCGGAAACUAUUCGAUAACUUACCGAUUGAUUAUGCAAAAUAAGGAGAACUGGUGGCGCUACCUGUUAAAAGGUGGUAGUAGCAGUUUACUGAGUUAUCGAUCGAACGCCCGGCAGUCGGUAGAUCUGCACCCCUCGGCGGUCGCUGUAAGAGUGACUAGUUUUUAUCUCACUCUAGGUCGAACUGUUUCCCCUCUGCCGGGACCGGCCACGUUUACUGGAAUGUUUUUUUUUUUUAACGUGGGGAAAUCUUGCAUAAGACCCCCCACCAUCCCCUGGGGGAGGGUGGCGGAGGAAUGUCAGAUUCUUACUGACUAAAACCCCACGGCGACCAGCACUGGCGCUAAAGAAGGGAUAAUUAGUAUCUGAAUAAUAAGUCUCUACUUACUGCUCCCGUCGUUCCACCAGCACAUGAGAACUCAUUAUUCUUUUUAUUAUACAUUAUACGAAACGAUGUUUAAGUAAUAAAAAAAAAAGAUAAUGUUCAA